AGUUUUAUAUCUUUAUGUUUGAAGCCUGAAAUGUGGCAAAAGGUCGCAAAGUUCAAGGGGGCCAAAUAUUUUCGCAAGGCACUGUAUAUAUAUACACACACACACACACACACACACACAGUUUAGCCUGGCACGGGGCAACUUGGAUGGUAGCCGUACAGCCGGCGCUCUUCAAAUGAGUCUGGAAGUGUGGUGUUCAGCCCAGUGCUUAAUGUUUUUCUUCUCAGAUCCACCGUAGAGGUCGCGCUCUGAGGAAGUUUGCCAAGCAGCUGACGGUUGUGAUGUCAUCACGUUCCCUCCAGAACAUGCCCUAGGCCAUGACUACCCUCUUCGACGAGAAGAUGUUCAAGAAUGAGGGUAUGACGUCAGCCUCAGUAGAGGUGAUAGGAGCGGUGUGUAGGAGACGGACCUGGUCUAAAUACCUCUACUACCUUAAACACUUUGUUCACAUACUGCAGACUGGACAGGCUGAACAGAAACUCGCUGUCAGGUAGGUGUCUGUGUGUAUCAGAGGGUGAUAUAUGUUUGUUUUCCACUAGUACUGUUGUCUCACACCUGUGUCCAUCCACAGUCUGUUGGUGACUGUUCUAGAGGCGUUCCACUUUGACCAUGACACUCUGGAGAGAGAAAUGGAGGCUGCUAAGACCAGGGCCAAAGAGGGUGAGUGGACACCGGUGACCAAGAGGUCCCAGUGAAGUAGAAUAUGAUUUCCAUACCAAGUGUGUGUGUGAUUAUAUUGAUUGACGUCGCCUCUUUCUGUUUAGUUGUGAGCACCGUUGUUGAUGACGACGGUGAUGAGGAAGAGGAGGUGGCAGCUGUCGAAUCAGAGGAGAGUGACACUGAGGAAGCCAUGGAAACUGAAACCGUCAACAGCGGCACGAAAACAACCACCAUGGAAACGGUCAAGGUUGUUACUAUGGAAAUGGACGCCGCUGAGGGCGUUGCUAUGGAAACUCAUACUGCCAAUGAAAUACAACUCAUACUGCUCUCCUGGUCUCGGAGAGUCUGCCCCUCGUCACCAAGAGGAACGGGGACAAAAAAAAGUCCCAGGCCCCCCCGGACCCUCACCUGCCCCCUCCCAGCUGUAUCCUCUUGCCCCCCACCCCAAAGAGAGGGGGACUUAAAGCCCCCGUCAGCAGCCACACCAACAUGCACAUCCUAGUGGACACUGGACUCCGGGUAAACCAACCUAGCUACCCUCCCUAAAACUUUCAGGAACUUUCUCACAGGUUGACUAGAAGAUGAAAUUGUGUUU
rnacentral:lncRNA from 13 species